AAAUUAUACGACGGGACCCAACACAGAAAAUUCAUUUUAUUGAAUUUUACAUUUAUGUGCAAGUUGGGCAAAGUGUCUUAUUUUUUAAGUAUUUCAAAGUAAAAUUACAUGUUAAUACGUAGUAUUAAUGGCGAGACUCCUGAGGGAGCAGUGCCAGUCGAAGACCGAGGCUGAGACGGCACCCUAGGAAAGCGAAGCCAUUCAAUACGAAGUAUUGUAUAAAUAGAGAACAGCAG
rnacentral:ncRNA from 20 species